rnacentral:rRNA from 1 species
UACGGAGGGGGCGAGCGUUAUUCGGAAUUAUUGGGCGUAAAGGGCGCGUAGGCGGCUGUACAAGUCAAAGGUGAAAUCCCUCGGCUCAACUGAGGAACUGCCUUUGAAACUGUACGCUUGAGGCCGGGAGGGGGUAGCGGAAUUCCCAAUGUAGCGGUGAAAUGCGUAGAUAUUGGGAGGAACACCAGUGGCGAAGGCGGCUACCUGGACCGGUUCUGACGCUGAGGCGCGAAAGCGUGGGUAGCAAACAGG